rnacentral:rRNA from 1 species
UGAGGAAUAUUGGUCAAUGGACGCAAGUCUGAACCAGCCAAGUCGCGUGCAGGAAUAAGGCCCUAUGGGUCGCAGACUGCUUUUGCAUGAGAAUAAAAAAGUGGGACGAGUCCCACCCUGUAGGUAUCAUGCGAAUAAGGAUCGGCUAACUCCGUGCCAGCAGCCGCGGUAAUACGGGAGGAUCCGAGCGUUAUCCGGAUUCAUUGGGUUUAAAGGGUGCGCAGGCGGGUCUGUAAGCCCGUGGUGAAAGCCUGGUGCUCAACGCCAGAGGUGCCGCGGGAACUGCAGGUCUUGAGUCGUGACGAGGGCGGCGGAAUGCGAAG